GUCUGUAUUGCUCAGUGUGAUCGAAGGCCCCAAGUCUGAGAGGCGGAACACACAAUGCAAAAGAAUGCCCGGGUCGGGGACAGCCAGAGGGACAACGUAUAGGUUUUCACGUAUUCAGACGUUCCUGAGUUCUGGACAUACCAUAUUUUCCAGAAUACAUUGACAAGGGAUCAGGUGGCACAUGCAAUGUAAGAUCUCCAGUUUUGCAGCAUUCAAGUACAAAUACGUGACAACCACAACAUUGUGAGUGCCAAAAUGGCAAAGACCUUCUCAUAUUGAAGACAAGAUGUCGUUCAGGCCCUUCCUGUGAAGGACUUCAAAGAAAGAUGGCCAGCCCUGUUUGAGCCCACUCAGAUUAAGGAAGAGUUCAGAAGAAUUACAACUGUUGCUCUUGAGUCCACCUUUAUCCAGAAGCUGGACGAAUAUACACCAAAACUAUUGGACUUGUUUAAGUCAAAACGAGGUGCUGUAAAGUGCAACACCAUCCAGGAAAGAAGAGACAGUGUGAUCCGUGGCCUGAUCAUAUACCUUGGUGAGAGGUUUGAAGACCUUAUUACAGAAUACAAGGAUGCUAACGACGCCAUGAUCCGAGAGGACCUCGUUCAGCAUGUGAUGAAGGUGUUCACUGUGAAGGAUCUGCACCAGAAUAUAGAGCAUGUGAUCUACAAUCGAAGGAGCAGAGGUCCUGGCAGGUAUUUGCAGUGUUACAGUCAUGUAACAGGUACCCAAAAUAACUGAAAUAAGGUACCCAAAAGAACUGAAAUAUACCUUUGAGGUGUUCCAAAAAGUAUUCUUAGAACUUGAUGAUCUCAGGACCUUUCCACGGUUCCAAGCUCUAAAGAUGAAGUUACUUGUUUUCAGAGAUAUCUAUGAGAACUCUCAAAGGGCCACUCACAAACUGUGGUCUAAACCCUACUCAGUAAGCUGAUAAGCUAGUUGCUAGGUGGUAUAGGAGCUACAGUUUACAUGAUGUUCUUUUUCAAGUGAAGUCAUAAGAGACAUUGUUAAUUCCUGGUUAAAAAAACUGCUUUGUUUUAAAAGUUACUUCAUAUGCACUAGUGAAUUUCUGAGAUUAUUUGUAGUCAGGUGCAAGCUAUCUGGAUGCAACUUUACCUAAGGAGGCAAGGUGGAGUUGUACCCAGAAUGCUUAUACCUGUCAAAAUAAUAUGUCCAUAUGGGCUUCACUAGUGCAAAUGGAGUCAGGUUUAAGGGACAAUUUGGCAUAUAUUUUGUAACAAUAUGUGCAAUGUAUGUUUUGAAAAGCCAUGUUUUGAUUAAUCUAAAACAGUUUGAAUGAGGAGGUAUUUGAGCUAAAGUUCAUAUUGUGCUUUGUGUAAAGUCUAUUAAGAUAAAUCGUUAAUUUACGUUUCUGUUAAAAUAUCGCUUUGAUGUUAAGGGGCACACAGACCAGGGAAUUCUUGCUAAAAUGUACAAGAUGUGAGGUCUAAGUGCUAAUCCCAAACUAUCACCUAAACUUUAUGCAGCUGUGAAGAUCUGAAAUGAUUUGUAGUCAGGUGCAAGCUAUCUGGAUGUUAUACCCAGAAUGCUUACAGAUUACAAAAUAAUGAGCUCCACAAAUGCUUAAGGAGUAGGGUUUAAUUUGAGAUUGAAGUUUGAAGAAAACCUUUAUUCAAAAUAAAGUUGUUGAAGUUUGAAGU